CCUACGGGAGGCAGCAGUGGGGAAUAUUGCACAAUGGGGGCAACCCUGAUGCAGCGACGCCGCGUGAGUGAAGAAGGCUUUCGGUAUGUAAAGCUCUAUCAGCAGGGAAGAAAAUUACGGUACCUGACCAAGUAGCCCCGGCCAACGACGGGCCAGCAGCCGCGGGAAUACGUAGGGGGCCAGCGUUAUCCGGAUUUACUGGGUGUAAAGGGGGCGGAGGCGGGAAUGCAAGCCAGAAGUGAAAGCCCGGGGCCCAACCCCGAGACUGCCUUUGGAACUGUGAGGCUGGAGUGUAGGAGAGGCAGGCGGAAUUCCUAGUGUAGCGGUGAAAUGCGUAGAUAUUAGGAGGAACACCAGUGGCGAAGGCGGCCUGCUGGACGUUGACUGACGUUGAGGCGCGAAAGCGUGGGGAGCAAACAGGAUUAGAUACCCGAGUAGUC
rnacentral:rRNA from 1 species